rnacentral:rRNA from 1 species
UACGGAGGGAGCUAGCGUUAUUCGGAAUUACUGGGCGUAAAGGGCGCGCAGGCGGCGCGAGAAGUCAGGCGUGAAAGCCCCGGGCUCAACCUGGGAAUUGCGCUUGAUACUCUUGUGCUGGAGUUCGGGAGAGGAGAGUGGAAUUCCCAGUGUAGAGGUGAAAUUCGUAGAUAUUGGGAAGAACACCGGUGGCGAAGGCGGCUCUCUGGACCGAGACUGACGCUGAGGCGCGAAAGCGUGGGGGAGCAAACAGG